rnacentral:rRNA from 1 species
GACGAACGCUGGCGGUGCGCCUAACACAUGCAAGUCGAACGGUGAACCGGGCUUCGGCCCGGGGAUCAGUGGCGAACGGGUGAGUAACACGUGGGUGACCUGCCUUUAGCUCUGGGAUAAGCCUGGGAAACCGGGUCUAAUACCGGAUAUGACUCCGCGGCGCAUGUUGUGGGGUGGAAAGCCUUGUGCGGCUGGAGAUGGGCCCGCGGCCUAUCAGCUUGUUGGUGGGGUGAUGGCCUACCAAGGCGACGACGGGUAGCCGGCCUGAGAGGGCGACCGGCCACACUGGGACUGAGACACGGCCCAGACUCCUACGGGAGGCAGCAGUGGGGAAUCUUGCGCAAUGGGCGAAAGCCUGACGCAGCGACGCCGCGUGA